CAGGCCUAACACAUGCAAGUCGAACGGGUAGUAGCAAUACUACUAGUGGCGCACGGGUGCGUAACACGUAGCUAACCUGCCCAGAACUGGGGGAUAGCCCGCCGAAAGGCGGAUUAACACCGCAUAACAUCAGGUGGCGGCAUCGUCUCUUGAUUAAAUCUACGGAGGUUCUGGAUGGGGCUGCGGGUCAUUAGCUAGUUGGUCAGGUAACGGCUUACCAAGGCGACGAUGACUAGGGGAGCUGAGAGGCUGGUCCCCCACACGGGCACUGAGAUACGGGCCCGACUCCUACGGGAGGCAGCAGUGGGGAAUAUUGGACAAUGGGCGCAAGCCUGAUCCAGCCAUGCCGCGUGUGUGAAGAAGGCCUUUUGGUUGUAAAGCACUUUAAGCGAGGAGGAGGCUACUUAGAUUAAUACUCUAGGAUAGUGGACGUUACUCGCAGAAUAAGCACCGGCUAACUCUGUGCCAGCAGCCGCGGUAAU
rnacentral:rRNA from 1 species